GACGAACGCUGGCGGCGUGCCUAAUACAUGCAAGUUGAGCGCUGAAGGUUGGUACUUGUACCAACUGGAUGAGCAGCGAACGGGGGAGUAACGCGUGGGGAAUCUGCCUUUGAGCGGGGGACAACAUUUGGAAACGAAUGCUAAUACCGCAUAAAAACUUUAAACACAAGUUUUAAGUUUGAAAGAUGCAAUUGCAUCACUCAAAGAUGAUCCCGCGUUGUAUUAGCUAGUUGGUGAGGUAAAGGCUCACCAAGGCGAUGAUACAUAGCCGACCUGAGAGGGUGAUCGGCCACAGUGGGACUGAGACACGGCCCAAACUCCUACGGGAGGCAGCAGUAGGGAAUCUUCGGCAAUGGACGAAAGUCUGACCGAGCAACGCCGCGUGAGUGAAGAAGGUUUUCGGAUCGUAAAACUCUGUUGGUAGAGAAGAACGUUGGUGAGAGUGGAAAGCUCAUCAAGUGACGGUAACUACCCAGAAAGGGACGGCUAACUACGUG
rnacentral:rRNA from 1 species